rnacentral:rRNA from 1 species
ACGAACGCUGGCGGCGUGCUUAACCCCUGCAAGUCGCACGGAAAGGCCCUGCUUUUGUGGGGUGCUCGAGUGGCGAACGGGUGAGUAACACGUGAGUAACCUGCCCUUGACUUUGGGAUAACUUCAGGAAACUGGGGCUAAUACCGGAUAGGAGCUCCUGCUGCAUGGUGGGGGUUGGAAAGUUUCGGCGGUUGGGGAUGGACUCGCGGCUUAUCAGCUUGUUGGUGGGGUAGUGGCUUACCAAGGCUUUGACGGGUAGCCGGCCUGAGAGGGUGACCGGCCACAAUGGGACUGAGAUACGGCCCAGACUCCUACGGGAGGCAGCAGUGGGGAAUAUUGCACAAUGGGCGGAAGCCUGAUGCAGCAACGCCGCGUGCGGGAUGACGGCCUUCGGGUUGUAAACCGCUUUCGCCUGUGACGAAGCGUGAGUGACGGUAAUGGGUAAAGAAGCACCGGCUAACUACGUG